rnacentral:rRNA from 1 species
GGGGAAUAUUGGACAAUGGGCGCAAGCCUGAUCCAGCCAUGCCGCGUGGGUGAAGAAGGCCUUCGGGUUGUAAAGCCCUUUUGUUGGGAAAGAAAAGCAGCCGGCCAAUACCCGGUUGUUCUGACGGUACCCAAAGAAUAAGCACCGGCUAACUUCGUGCCAGCAGCCGCGGUAAUACGAAGGGUGCAAGCGUUACUCGGAAUUACUGGGCGUAAAGCGUGCGUAGGUGGUGGUUUAAGUCCGUUGUGAAAGCCCUGGGCUCAACCUGGGAACUGCAUCCAAAACUGGCGAGCUAGAGUAUGGCAGAGGGUGGUGGAAUUCCCGGUGUAGCAGUGAAAUGCGUAGAGAUCGGGAGGAACAUCAGUGGCGAAGGCGACUGCCUGGGCCAACACUGACACUGAGGCACGAAAGCGUGGGGAGCAAACA